GCAUUUGUGGCUCAGUGGUAGAGCGUCGCACUCGUAAUGCGAAGGCCGUGGGUUCGAUCCCCAUCAGAUGCA
rfam:Aspergillus aculeatus ATCC 16872 unplaced genomic scaffold ASPACscaffold_7, whole genome shotgun sequence.